UGUGAAUCUAACAAUGGAAGUGCAAAUCUUCUUAUUUACC
rnacentral:tRNA from 1 species